GGCAGAAGAACCUAUGGGCACAAAAAGCAGGAACGAGUAGCGGUGGCUGAAGAACGAGCAGGAGCUUGAAUUUCAGUUUUCUUAUGAGGAAUUUUCCAGAAAAGAUAUCUUCACUGUGAAAUAACUAAAUAAAUGCCCACUCAGUACAGUCACUGUCUCCCUUUUGGAACUUGAUGGCACCUUAAGCCCAGGUUUGCCUCCACUCUAGAAACUCAUCAGAGUGAUGCCCUUCUCAAAUGGGGGAGGUCCCAAAGCGGAUAUCCUGGCAGUGUGAAAGGCCGGCUAAAGGUUUGUGCCAAGAGGAUCUGUGGAAUGCAUCUCCUACAGCUGGUGCUGCUGAGUAACCACUCUGAUCUGGCAUCUUCUUUGAUCAAGUUACAGAGCAGAGUUUCCAGGGCUGGGGAUUGAAGUCCUGCCUCCUCCCUUUGUCUCUGGUUGUCCUCGACAAAAAUACCUGCUACAUGCUUCCUUCUGUAUGAAUACAUGAGACCUACCUUCAUUCAUGUUUCCUCUAUGAAGCUUUCCCUGCACUCCAAACACAGAGCUGAGACUUCCACCUAAUGUAGAAAGCUAGCACGAGCCGGCGCUGACAGAUGGAAGACUUGAGAUGUUACAAGAUUAUAUAUGGAAACACAAAAGGAGUGGAGUUGCUGGGUCAUAUGGCAAUUCAUUUGAGGAACUGAGAAGCUUAUUCCAUGGAGGCUGAACUGUUUUAUAUUCCCACCAGCAACGUUAGAGACGGGGUUUCACCGCGUUAGCCAGAAUGGUUUCUAUCUCCUGACCUCAUGAUCCGCCCACCUCGGCCUCCCAAAGUGCUGGGAUUACAGGCGUGAGCCACUGUGCCUGGCCAAACGCUGGUAGGUUUUGAGUGAGACCACAUUACAUUUAAAUAUAUUUACAAUGUUUUCUGCUCUAUUCUUUAGUAGACUUUUCCUCACGUGGUCCUACGCAUUUCUUUCUAAGUUUAUUUUCAUAUAGCCUAUCCCUGUCUACAAUUUAAAUUGGGAUCUUCUAUAUUCUAGUUAUUAUUUGUAAAUAAGAAAACUACUGACUUUUUUCUAGUAUAUUUUCUCAGAAUAGGAUUUUCUAUUUUUCUAUAAAAUGACCAAUGUUAUGAAGCUUCGUAAGUUUUGUCAAAGUGAUACACACAUACAGCAAAAAAUCAAAUAGUACAGAAGUAUAAAAGCAACAACCUCUGCCUUGCCCCUUCUCCACCUUCAGGUCCCCUUCCCAGAUACAAUAAUUUUUAGCUUUUUAUUUUUAAUUAUUCUGGUUGUUACCUACAUAACUCUGGGCAAUAUGGAAAAGUUAUUGAUUUUGUAUAUUAAUUUCAUAAUCAGUUACCUUGAUGAAUUCUCUUGUUUCUAGUAGUUUUUCUUUAGGGUUUUAAAGGGAUACAAUCAUACCAUUUGCAGUUAGUAACCAUUUUAUCUCCUCUUAUUUCCAACUUCGUACUGUUUUCUCUUGUCUAAUUUGUUUUUAAUUGGUGGGUACUUCUAGAACAAGGUUAAAUAAAAGUGGUGUUGGUGGGCGUCCUUAUUUCUGAUAUUAAUGGGAAUGAGUAUAAUGUAUAAAUAUAUAACCAUGAUUUUGGUUUUUUUCCAAGUUUUUAUCAGUAAUGAUUGCUGAGUUUUAUCAAAAUUUUUUUGGCAUCCAUUGAGAGGAUUAUAUAUUACUCUUUGACACAUUAAUGUGGUUAAUUAAAGUAACCAACUUAUUAACCUUGAAAUAGUCUUAGUUAAAUAAACCCUACUUGUCAAUGCUAUAUCAUUAUUUUAAUAUUGUACUGAACAUUUUACAAAGGUGUUUCACCAUAAGGCAUAUUGAUCUGUAAUUUUUUUUUUUCUGUUGAACUUGCUAUUGUCAGGUUUUGGUGUAUUAUGUUGGUUUUGGAGAAUAAAUUUAAAAGUUUCCUUUAUGUUAUCUAUACAUUGCCUGAAAAGAGUUUAAAUAGCAUUGAAAAUGAUCUCUUCUUUGAAGAUUUAACCAAUUUCACCUGUAAAUCUGUCUGUGCUUUGUAAUUUUGGUGAUACUGUUGACUCAAAUUCCAAAAGCAGUAAAUGCAGUGUUUUAUAUUUUUCUAUUAAAAAUGUAAAAUCAAAUUAUAUU
rnacentral:lncRNA from 1 species